rnacentral:rRNA from 1 species
ACACAUGCAAGUCGAGCGGUAGCACAGAGAGCUUGCUCUCGGGUGACGAGCGGCGGACGGGUGAGUAAUGUCUGGGAAACUGCCUGAUGGAGGGGGAUAACUACUGGAAACGGUAGCUAAUACCGCAUAACGUCGCAAGACCAAAGUGGGGGACCUUCGGGCCUCAUGCCAUCAGAUGUGCCCAGAUGGGAUUAGCUGGUAGGUGGGGUAACGGCUCACCUAGGCGACGAUCCCUAGCUGGUCUGAGAGGAUGACCAGCCACACUGGAACUGAGACACGGUCCAGACUCCUACGGGAGGCAGCAGUGGGGAAUAUUGCACAAUGGGCGCAAGCCUGAUGCAGCCAUGCCGCGUGUGUGAAGAAGGCCUUCGGGUUGUAAAGCACUUUCAGCGGGGAGGAAGGCGGUGAGGUUAAUAACCUCAUCGAUUGACGUUACCCGCAGAAGAAGCACCGGCUAACUCCGUGCCAGCAGCCGCGGUAAUACGGAGGGUGCAAGCGUUAAUCGGAAUUACUGGGCGUAAAGCGCACGCAGGCGGUCUGUCAAGUCGGAUGUGAAAUCCCCGGGCUCAACCUGGGAACUGCAUUCGAAACUGGCAGGCUAGAGUCUUGUAGAGGGGGGUAGAAUUCCAGGUGUAGCGGUGAAAUGCGUAGAGAUCUGGAGGAAUACCGGUGGCGAAGGCGGCCCCCUGGACAAAGACUGACGCUCAGGUGCGAAAGCGUGGGGAGCAAACAGGAUUAGAUACCCUGGUAGUCCACGCUGUAAACGAUGUCGAUUUGGAGGUUGUGCCCUUGAGGCGUGGCUUCCGGAGCUAACGCGUUAAAUCGACCGCCUGGGGAGUACGGCCGCAAGGUUAAAACUCAAAUGAAUUGACGGGGGCCCGCACAAGCGGUGGAGCAUGUGGUUUAAUUCGAUGCAACGCGAAGAACCUUACCUGGUCUUGACAUCCACAGAACUUUCAGAGAUGGAUUGGUGCCUUCGGGAACUGUGAGACAGGUGCUGCAUGGCUGUCGUCAGCUCGUGUUGUGAAAUGUUGGGUUAAGUCCCGCAACGAGCGCAACCUUAUCCUUGUUGCCAGCGGUCCGGCCGGGAACUCAAAG